UACAGAGAUAUGCAUUUUUCGAGUAUUUCAUUAAAACAAAGCGGGCAACGGCGAGUUGCGGACGGUGGAGACAAAAGAAUUAUAAAUAAAUUGUUAAGCGUUAACGCAAACGUUACGUUAACGUGGUCGAGAGCAGUCUAGACCAAAUAAAUCAAGCAGCAGAUGGGUUCAUUAAACGUUCAGCACAAAGCACAACUCAAUUCGAACACACUACUCAAGCAAAUUUGACCCAAACGAGAGAAGAUUGACUGAAGUCCAAAGUGCAAAACUGAAUCCCAAUACGCAAUGCUCAAUAUAUUUUUUUGCUAUUCAUGGUGGAUAAACGAAACGAAAGCACGCAGAAUUCACAGGAUGUGGCAGGACAUUGAAGUGGCCAUCACGAACCACAAUUACCGCACUUUAUAGCACUCAUAAUAUUACUGCUUAUCCAGGCAACUACUAUUCAAGGUGACGAAAGGAAAAAAAUCUCAUCAGUUUGCUGAACACACGACGCUCAAAGAGCUGAGCAGACCAGAGCAGGAACGGAGCGUGCCAGGCUGCUAAUUUGCAUAUCUUAAUUGCGUUCUUUGUGCGAGAACUCUUCUCGCCGAGGCAGCUGCAGAGGUAAACAGGAUUGGCCGCGAAGCGGCAACUGCAACGACAACUGGAAGUGCAUUAACAUUGCACACACACUAGGUUGAGCAUUAAAAUACACCGAAGGCUGCAUCCCUUGGCAAUGACACACCCCACAGCAAUUCCCUUCAUUUUGGGAGCAUGUGUGUGUGUGGGUGCGACAACAUUUCUAAUUUGUUUUAAUUGCAGUGACAACAAUGCCGCCGGCCGAGCAAAGGCGGCAAUCAAAAGGCACAAACGAAAACAAACAGAAUUAAAUUUAAAUGGGAAAAACCUUGCAGGCAAAACAACUCACUGUUUAUUUAACAGUUGAUGACCUUAAAGUAACCAAUUGCAUUUGUCUGGACACCCAGACUAAUCAGACUGUAAUUAAAAUAAAAUCUAGUCAAAACAAAACUUUGCGCCAAUAGCAAACUAACCUAAAUAUUCCCUAGACUAAUUACUUAUA